UACGUAGGGCGCAAGCGUUGUCCGGAAUUAUUGGGCGUAAAGAGCUCGUAGGCGGUCUGUCGCGUCUGCCGUGAAAACCCGAGGCUUAACCUCGGGCUGGCGGUGGAUACGGGCAGACUAGAGGUAGGUAGGGGAGAAUGGAAUUCCCGGUGUAGCGGUGAAAUGCGCAGAUAUCGGGAGGAACACCGGUGGCGAAGGCGGAUCUCUGGGCAUUAACUGACGCUGAGGAGGCGAAAGCAUGGGGAGCGAACAGG
rnacentral:rRNA from 1 species